ACUUUCUGCCUCCCAGGUGUCUUUUAUACAGGUAACAAGCUGAGAUUAGGAGCACUCUCUUAAAGGGAUCUCAGCUUGUUACCUGUAUAAAAGACACUUGUCCACAGAAG